rnacentral:rRNA from 1 species
UAGAGUUUGAUCCAUGGCUCAGAUUGAACGCUGGCGGCAGGCCUAACACAUGCAAGUCGAGCGGUAGAGAGAAGCUUGCUUCUCUUGAGAGCGGCGGACGGGUGAGUAAUGCCUAGGAAUCUGCCUGGUAGUGGGGGAUAACGUUCGGAAACGGACGCUAAUACCGCAUACGUCCUACGGGAGAAAGCAGGGGACCUUCGGGCCUUGCGCUAUCAGAUGAGCCUAGGUCGGAUUAGCUAGUUGGUGAGGUAAUGGCUCACCAAGGCGACGAUCCGUAACUGGUCUGAGAGGAUGAUCAGUCACACUGGAACUGAGACACGGUCCAGACUCCUACGGGAGGCAGCAGUGGGGAAUAUUGGACAAUGGGCGAAAGCCUGAUCCAGCCAUGCCGCGUGUGUGAAGAAGGUCUUCGGAUUGUAAAGCACUUUAAGUUGGGAGGAAGGGUUGUAGAUUAAACUCUGCAAUUUGACGACCGCA